GACUAGCCCUGCGGAUGCCCUUCCUGGGAGAGCAGCCCCUGGAUGAAUGGGUGAAGGAAUUGGAGCUCCGGGUAUGGCAGGAGAUGUGGCUGGAAGAUGCCUACCAGGCGCUCUGGUGGUAUGGGGCACAGUACCUGCCCUGGACAGCUGAGCAUGACAAGCCAGAGGGAGAGGAGUUUGAUGGUCCUGGUUUGUUAUGGG